GACGUAGGGUGCAAGCGUUGUCCGGAUUUAUUGGGCGUAAAGAGCUCGUAGGCGCUUGUUGCGUCGACUGUGAAAACCCCGCGGCUUAACCGCGGGCUUGCAGUUGAUACGGGCAGGCUAGAGUUCGGUAGGGGAGACUGGAAUUCCUGGUGUAGCGGUGAAAUGCGCAGAUAUCAGGAGGAACACCGCGGCGAAGGCGGGUCGUCUGGGCCGAUACUGACGCUGAGGAGCGAAAAGCGUGGGGGAGCGAACAGG
rnacentral:rRNA from 1 species